GAGUUUGAUCMUGGCUCAGGACGAACGCUGGCGGCACGCCUAACACAUGCAAGUCGAACGGAGAUAUUUUGGUUUACUGAGAUAUCUUAGUGGCGGACGGGUGAGUAACACGUGAGCAACCUGCCUCUGAGAGAGGGAUAGCUUCUGGAAACGGAUGGUAAUACCUCAUAACAUAACGAAGCCGCAUGACUUUGUUAUCAAAGAUUUAUCACUCAGAGAUGGGCUCGCGUCUGAUUAGAUAGUUGGUGAGGUAACGGCCCACCAAGUCGACGAUCAGUAGCCGGACUGAGAGGUUGAACGGCCACAUUGGGACUGAGACACGGCCCAGACUCCUACGGGAGGCAGCAGUGGGGAAUAUUGCACAAUGGGGGAAACCCUGAUGCAGCGAUGCCGCGUGGAGGAAGAAGGUUUUCGGAUUGUAAACUCCUGUCUUAAAGGACGAUAAUGACGGUACUUUAGGAGGAAGCUCCGGCUAACUACGUGCCAGCAGCCGCGGUAAUACGUAGGGAGCGAGCGUUGUCCGGAAUUACUGGGUGUAAAGGGAGCGUAGGCGGGAUGGCAAGUCAGAUGUGAAAACUAUGGGCUCAACCCAUAGACUGCAUUUGAAACUGUUGUUCUUGAGUGAAGUAGAGGUAAGCGGAAUUCCUGGKUGUAGCGGUGAAAUGCGUAKAUAUCARGAGGAACAUCGGUGGCGAAGGCGGCUUACUGGGCUUUUWCUGAMGCUGAGGCUCGAAAGSGUGGGGAGCAAACAGGAUUAGAUACCCUGGGUAGUCMACGCUGUAAACGAUGAUUACUAGGUGUGGGGGGACUGACCCUUYCGKGCCGCAGUUAACACGAAUAAUAAUCCACCUGGGGAGUCGGCCGCAAGKUGAACUCMAAAGAAUUGWMRGGGCCCWCAC
rnacentral:rRNA from 1 species